rnacentral:lncRNA from 1 species
CAGCUGGGCACUGUUGUGAAAGCUGUGAAGAGGCAUAAAUACGUUCUUAGUAAACUUGCAAGUUAAUUAUGUAAGUUGAAUUAAUUUCUUUUAUAUAUGAAACUUUUGUUCUUUUUGCUUGCAGGAAAAUAGCAAAAAAUUAAAAAUGAAGUUUCCACCUAAGAUUGCAAACAGGAAAACAAAAAGCAAAACAAAUAAGGGGGGGAUAACUCAGCCAAACAUAAACGAUAGCUUGGAAAUUACCAAACUGGACUCUUCCAUCAUUUCAGAAGGGAAAAUAUCUACUGUUGCACCGCAGAUCCAGGCUUUUACGCUACAGAAGGCAGCAGCAGGUUUGAUGAGCCUUCUUCGUGACAUGGGAAAAGGUUAUUUAGCCUUGUGCUCAUACAACUGCAAAGAAGCGAUAAAUAUUCUAAGCCAUUUGCCAUCUCACCACUACAACACUGGCUGGGUGCUGUGCCAAAUUGGGAGAGCUUACUUUGAACUCGCAGAAUACAUGCAGGUAGGAAGUGUGUGUGGUUGGUUUUGAAUCUCUGUCAGCAGUCAUUCUUUCCUGAAGUUGAGUUAUGCUUCAGACUUCUUUUAAGGCUGAAGUUAUUUCCUCUUCAUCCAGCCCUGGGGGUUUUCCCUCUGCCUCUCCCCAUCUUCACCCUCAGUUGUGCUGAUGCAGCUGUUUGUACUGCAGUGCUGUAAAUGAUAUCACUGAAACAGUUUAGGUUCCAAAAUCAGGUGUUCUUCUCCCCCCCCCCCCCCCCCAUUUAGUUCAUGCAGAUCCUGUCAAUGACCUGGUUCCCUUUGCAGCAUGCAGAAUGACUGCAUUUGUACAGCUGAGGUGAUAUCAGACUGCUUCAGAACAGAAGCAAGCAGCUAAGAUGAAUCCAGCCGUUCAACUCUCCUCUCUGUUGUCCUGAUAGUUGGUGUGCUUGUUUCCUGCAGGAGUCACAAGCAGGGAGGGCAGCUGGAGUUCUGCUUGGCCUAACUGUAUUGGAGUGUAGUCAUUUCUUUUGUUUGGAGGGGAAGAUAAAAAUACAACAGGACUUGUAGCUCUGCAUCAUAUGCUUGCAUAGCAAAGAAUUCUCAGUCUGGACAUAUGAGGCUUCUAACUUUGAUCUGUGUGCUCUGCUUGGGUGGGUGGAAUUGCUCUAAGUUUGAUUUCUCAUUUCCUUUCUUAGGCUGAAAGGAUAUUUUCAGAAGUGAGGAGGAUUGAAAACUACAGAGUAGAAGGCAUGGAGAUCUAUUCAACUACGCUGUGGCAUCUGCAGAAAGACGUUGCUCUUUCAGUUCUUUCAAAGGAUUUAACAGACAUGGAUAAAAAAC